GGUCAGCUCUGGGGAGCCUGCUCAAUCCCAGGAGGAAUUCUGUAUCUGGACAAGCACUGUGCCAAAGCAGAAAGACCAUGACAGAGGCAAGGAAGUCAGAGGUUUCUUUAUUUCCUCUUCUCAGCAUGCUGUGGCUUCCAAGGGCAUCAUUGCUCAGCUGGACAUCAAAGACUUGGUGCCACCAACUCUCCCACCAAAGCAAGCCUUGCAGUGCCCCACACCGACUCAGAGCCACCCCAGACCCACGUGGGAUAUCUUCUGAGAGACGUGGAAUGAAAGUUCACAGGUGUUUAGAUUGAGAGGAACCUGACUUGAUUGGCUCAACCCAAGGAAGUGCACCUUGAGGAGACUCACUUGUCAAAGGACCUGACUUCAAUAAUGAGACCUCGGACUUGCCCAAGCUUGAGCCUUGCACAACAUAGGUGAGAGACUUUCUGGUGGAUUCAGGGAGAGGGUAAGCAUCUUUUUCACUUGAAAGAAAUGUAAAUAAUUGCUGUCCAGAGAGUGGACUUUGCUGGUUUUGAAACGUUUCCAAAUUAUUUGGUGCUCCUCCCACUGAGAAGCUGGAUCCAUGUGCCUUCCCCUUAAAUAUGGGCUGAACCAAGUGGCAUAGAGUGAACAGAUUGACACUCCAAAACUGAAAGUUGGUCAGAAGGCUCCAUGAAGCUUCUAAGUAGCUGCCUUGGGACGCACACUUUAGAAAUCCUGAGCUACCACAUAAGAGGUCAGACUGCUCCAUGGUUUCACAAUGCUGUGAAGGAGCCCAGGCCACAGGAAGAGGCCACGUGUAUGUGUUGACAGCCACCACCGGGAACCCGUCUAACUGCCAGCACCAGCCACAGGCACAUGAGUGAAGCCCGUCACUGGGACGACCGCAGCCUUCAAGUCUUCCACAUUGAGAUCGUAGACAUCAUGGCUGGAAGCUCGUUCACUUGAUAUUUUGCCAUGACACAUCUGCAAUUAUUCCAAAUGGAGCUGUGACUAAAGCAGGACCCCAAGGAAAUGCAGCUGUCAAGGGCAUGGAAGAGAGAUAGAGAUAAAUAUCACAUCAGAAAUCCUGAAGAACUGGCUUGUCAACACUAUUAGGUCUCUGCUCUUUGAAGUGAAUACAGUGAGCAAGAAAGAGGUAAAUAAAAGUUUUUACAUGGCUUGAAAAUGUCAACAUCAUUUUUCUCUCCUGCUGAAGCCUACUGGACAUGGGGACAGUUUGGGGGGCAGGUGCAAAGACUGUCCAGGUCUAUAAGAGUGGCUGGAUCACAAUCAGGGUGGGGGUGGCAAAAAGAUGAUCCACCUAAACCCUCCAUGAUGUUAAAGCAAUUGGAGAAAGAGCAGGCGAAAAGAAGCUUGAAGUCCAGACUUCUGAGAAGAUGUCAUCCUUUGAAGAUCCUUUCAAGUACAAAGCACAAGGGCUCAAAUGAUUCUGACACAGGCGAGGAAAUAAGUAUCUACAAACACACACAUCAGGCAGAGCUGUGCACAUGAGGCA